UGGGGAAUUUUGGACAAUGGGGGCAACCCUGAUCCAGCCAUGCCGCGUGCGGGAAGAAGGCCUUCGGGUUGUAAACCGCUUUUAGCUGGGAAGAAAAGGCCAUCGUUAAUAGCGGUGGUUCUUGACGGUACCGGCGGAAUAAGCAACGGCUAACUCUGUGCCAGCAGCCGCGGUAAUACAGAGGUUGCGAGCGUUGUUCGGAUUUACUGGGCGUAAAGGGUGCGUAGGCGGCCUUGCAUGUCGGAUGUGAAAGCUCACGGCUCACCCGUGGAAUGGCAUCUGAAACUGCAGAGCUAGAGUACAGGAGAGGAGAGUGGAAUUCUCGGUGUAGCGGUGAAAUGCGUAGAUAUCGAGAGGAACACCGGUGGCGAAAGCGGCUCUCUGGACUGUAACUGACGCUGAGGCACGAAAGCCAGGGUAGCAAAAAGGAUUAGAUACCCUUGUAGUCCUGGCCGUAAACGUUGUGCACUUGGUGUGAGUGGGUUUGUCCCCAUUCGUGCCGGAGCUAACGCAUUAAGUGCACCGCCUGGGGAGUACGGUCGCAAGACUA
rnacentral:rRNA from 1 species